AACAAGGAUUCCCCUAGUAACUGCGAGUGAAGCGGGAAAAGCUCAAAUUUAAAAUCUGAUAGUCUUUGGCUGUCCGAGUUGUAAUCUAGAGAAGUGMUAUCCGCGUUGGACCGUGUACAAGUCUCCUGGAAUGGAGCGUCRUAGAGGGUGAGAAUCCCGUCUUUGACACGGACUGCCAGGGCUUUGUGAUACGCUCUCAAAGAGUCGAGUUGUUUGGGAAUGCAGCUCAAAAUGGGUGGUAAAUUCCAUCUAAAGCUAAAUAUUGGCGAGAGACCGAUAGCGAACAAGUACCGUGAGGGAAAGAUGAAAAGAACUUUGGAAAGAGAGUUAAACAGUACGUGAAAUUGCUGAAAGGGAAACGCUUGAAGUCAGUCGCGUUAUCCAGGGAUCAACCUUGCUUUUGCUUGGUGCACUUUCUGGUUGACGGGUCAGCAUCAAUUUUGACCAUUGGAAAAAGAUUAGGGGAAUGUGGCAUCUUUGGAUGUGUUAUAGCCCUUGGUUGCAUACAAUGGUUGGGAUUGAGGAACUCAGCACGCCGCAAGGCCGGGUUUUUAACCACGUACGUGCUUAGGAUGCUGGCAUAAUGGCUUUAAUCGACCCGUCUUGAAACACGGACCAAGGAGUCUAACAUGCCUGCGAGUGUUUGGGUGGAAAACCCGAGCGCGUAAUGAAAGUGAAAGUUGAGAUCCCUGUCGUGGGGAGCAUUGACGCCCGGACCAGACCUUUUGUGACGGUUCCGCGGUAGAGCAUGUAUGUUGGGACCCGAAAGAUGGUGAACUAUGCCUGAAUAGGGUGAAGCCAGAGGAAACUCUGGUGGAGGCUCGUAGCGAUUCUGACGUGCAAAUCGAUCGUCAAAUUUGGGUAUAGGG
rnacentral:rRNA from 2 species